ACAGGCUCAUCUCUAGAUGAUUUUGCAGCGGAUUUACGUGGUGAUUAUGCGCAUAGAUGCGUUUUUUUGAGAACUAGUGAUUGAAACAGAACAAACUCGAAAAUGUGUUUCAAUAUUUAAUAAAUAUUGAUCACUUUUGUGUAUAUAUUUCUUAACAUAUGGGUAAAAAUAACUAAUAAUGGUUCACAGAAAACAUUAAAACGAAACUUUAUUCACUGGGAUGAAGAAAUGCGCUAUAAAGACGACGAUAAAACGUGAACACAUUCAGGCAAUAAUCGGGCAUUAUUUCAAUGGGCAUUCAAUGCCAAAUAUCAACAGUCAUCUUCGAUUUGGAUUCUUUGGCAUCUUAUAAACAGAUCUUCAAACGUUUGUUCUGAUGAACUUAAAAGUUGUGGAUGUAAGUAUUUUUCUAUCAUUGAAUGAUUGAUUCUAGUAUACAAUAACUCAAAAAUGUUAAUUAAUAAUAUAAUUAGUAAUUAUUGCAAAUUUGCAAUAUUAUGAGAUCAAGAGAUCGAUUUUCUCUACCCAAUUUUGGUACAGAUAUCAAUACAUUAUUUCUUGCUUCAUUGUUAUAAUUUUAAUGCUUCUUGGUAUUAAUAUUAAUGAGGUUGUUUCUGUACUGCAUUUUAGGUACUGUAAUUACAUGUCAAGGUGUACCAAGUUUGAGAGCUUGUUUUGGGCCGAAUAUGUUUUCCGAGUGUACCGCUUGCAGCAAUAGCACAAGAAUACAGUUACAGACAAUGUUAUCUUACAAAAUCAUGUAAUUUGGUAUUGAAAAUUGAUUCACGUAUACAAAAAACUGUGGUAAAUGUUGGUCUGCAUGUUCCAUUGGUAAGCACGAUGAGUGGAGUGUGCAUCUUUAAACAUCCUUGUUACCAGCAAGAGGGUUCGGCAAAGAAAACUAUGGAAAAUUUAGCUAUACCAAUAGAGUCAUUUAAGUUAACACACAGGAACAUCUUUUAAACCAAACAUCAAACUGCAGGAAAAACUAAGUUUGCUCUUAAAAGACAAGAAACAGGUCAGAAAGUCUAACUGCCAGACAUCUGAAAAAACAACAGACGUCGACAGGUGCAGCAGCUCCAAAAGAAAACCGAGAGACGAAGCUCUAUGAGGAGCAGAAGGGACAACCUAUGAGGCUGGAGGCUUCUGAAGUGCUAAAAGUACUUCUAAUGACAAAAAAUUAGGCUAAAGUCCCUGAAACCUGUCAGGAACAGCUCGAGCAGUUGUUUAAGAACUUUAACACUUGUUUUCUCGGAAUGUACAUUUUCCGUCUUUGAGAAAAGAUAUCUCAUGAUGUAUUUAACCAAUUGUCCUGAAAUUUUCAGGGCUUAUUCUUUUAUUACAGCUGUCUUAAUUAAGCAUAGGAAAUUUCUGUAUCUUGUGUGGAAUACAUUUUAUGACAAAAAAUAUUAUCGAAAAAACCUAUGUUAACUUUACCUCUGCUGUGACCACUGGAUUUAUCAUACAAAAAAGUUCUAUGCUCAUUUAAGAUAAUGAUGCUUAUACUACUUACUGAUAAAAUUUCUUAAAAUUCCAAGCAAUUUAUAAGCAGAUAUCUUUUCUCAAAUUCACCCUAGUUUUGCACAGCAUGUGGUGUGAUUGCCGGCCUGGUGUCAGGUUACAAUGGACGUUAGGUACUAGUGAUUAGUAUUUUUAGUUUCUAUAGGUCAUAAGCUUUCUACUGAUAUAUAGUUUGUCAUAACUCUGGUGAAUAUCUUUAAAAUUACAGCCAUUUCAAAAAUGGCCAUCAAUCCAUGUGUACCCCCCCCCUUAAAAGGCCUGUAAAAGUUUCCAGUAAGUCUCUAGCCCAACACGUUCAGACCACACAAAGUUUUGUUACUUAUUAUUGUCCACUGUACACAUGGG
rnacentral:lncRNA from 1 species